rfam:Schizophyllum commune H4-8 unplaced genomic scaffold SCHCOscaffold_8, whole genome shotgun sequence.
GUCGGUAUCGAUUAGGGGUCAAAUCACCUCGUUGUGGCGAAUACGUUACAGUAAAACCGAGGAGCCGCAGGUUCGAAUCCUGCUACCGACA